rnacentral:rRNA from 1 species
ACGGGAGGCAGCAGUGGGGAAUAUUGCACAAUGGGGGAAACCCUGAUGCAGCGACGCCGCGUGAGUGAAGAAGUAUUUCGGUAUGUAAAGCUCUAUCAGCAGGGAAGAUGAUGACGGUACCUGACUAAGAAGCCCCGGCUAACUACGUGCCAGCAGCCGCGGUAAUACGUAGGGGGCAAGCGUUAUCCGGAUUUACUGGGUGUAAAGGGAGUGUAGGCGGCUGCGCAAGUCAGAAGUGAAAACCCGGGGCUUAACUCCGGGACUGCUUUUGAAACUGUGUAGCUUGAGUGCAGGAGAGGUAAGCGGAAUUCCUAGUGUAGCGGUGAAAUGCGUAGAUAUUAGGAAGAACACCGGUGGCGAAGGCGGCUUACUGGACUGAGACUGACGCUGAGGCUCGAAAGCGUGGGGAGCAAACAGGAUUAGAUACCCUGGUA